rnacentral:rRNA from 1 species
UACGGGGGAUGCGAGCGUUAUCCGGAUUUAUUGGGUCUAAAGGGUGCGUAGGCGGCGCUUCAGGUCAGCGGUGAAAUACCGGGGCUCAACCCCGGGGCUGCCGUUGAAACUGGAAGACUUGAGUGUGUUUGAGGUAGGCGGAAUGCGUGGUGUAGCGGUGAAAUGCAUAGAUAUCACGCAGAACUCCGAUUGCGAAGGCAGCUCACUGGACUGCAACUGACACUGAGGCUCGAAAGUGUGGGUAUCAAACAGG